rnacentral:lncRNA from 1 species
CUCACGUGUGCAACGCGUCCGUAAAUUUUUAUGCGCAUGCGUGAGGUCCGCCAUUACUCUGGCCAGUAACUGGCUGCUGGCGUACUAUAGAAUAUAUAGCGAAAGAAGAUAUUUUGGCUGGAAAAUCGCGUUUUUUGACCAUGUUUAUCAACGAAUGUGGGAAUUUUGUACAGAAAUCGAAAUAUAUAAGGUAAGACAUAACGACUGGGCCGUCUACAGGAAUUUAGAUACUUUUCUCGAGCAAAAAUCACAUUUUAUACAACAAUGUUUACAUGCAGCGAUACAAUUAUAUUUUGUGUGAAGUUUAUAUGAAUAUGAACACUCAUCUGAGUCAAUUGGCUAUCCUCUUCCUAAUAUUUCUUAGCAUUUCUUAUCAUUAUUGUCAUAAAAUAACUGAUAACCAUUUGUAUUUCGGAAAGACAUUGAGGUUUUAUUUAUUAAUUUGUGUUUUGACUCGAACACGGCCGCUAUGCCACUUUACUUUUGAACAUAAAUAGUCGAUGUCGUGGAUAAGAAAUUAUUUGUAAAAAGCAAAAACAAUCAUGUUACUAUGAUAAAAGACAUUUGCUGAGCGAAAUAGUGCUUUAAUAGUAAAACUGCAUGUCGAUCCAGAUCCUAAUGAAGAAUGAUUUCUGUUUCGUUCUUAUAUGCAGUGAUUACUUUAGGUUCAAAUUAUAAAUUAGGUUUCAUGGAGUUACCAGGAAUUUUGAGAUGCAUUUUUUGUAAAGUGUCAAUAUUUGCAAGGUUUAUAUUUGAUUGCUGCCCUACUACAUGGGUUUUUAAAUUUUAUUUAAAUUUGUUUACUUGUCACCUACAGCUGCUGACCUUGCUAUCACUUUGUUUUCUUUUUAGUUUCAUUGCAGCUGAUCAUCCUGUUUGCUUCUUUCAUCUCAAUACCCAUUGUCAAUACCAUAUUGCUCAUUGAUUUAUGUAUGAAUAGCAUUAAUAUAAUAAACAUAGCAAUUGUAUAACAGCUAUAAUAACUAAAUGUAUCAUAAUAUAAUAUUUGUGGUGUUACUCUGAGUGUACUGUAUAUCCACACCGGGCGAGCUUGAAAAAUAUGCCCGGCCACGGUGGGAUUCGAACCUACGACCUUCGGAAUACUAGCCCAAUGCUUUUCAUUCAAGUAAGUGAUAUUUCGGAACAGAAUCUAGUUCCUUCGAUACCAAUGUAUUCUACCACAAUAUUCACCACAUAUUCACCACAUCACACCACAUAUUCUACCACAUAUUCACCUGAGUACACUACACCAACACAGAAUGGUAUCAUAUUUUUAAAACUUAGUAAAUGAAUGGACUAUUUUUGUAUAGUAUUAAAUGAAAUAACAUUUGAAUAUGAGAAGAUACAAUUGAUUUGUGACUUGUGUUCAUGAUUUUAAUAUUUACAGUGUGCAUUUUGUGUCCUAAAUAAAAAUGAUACAUACAGUGGUGUACACAAUUUGGUCUGAAAACUGCACUUAAAUGUCAUAAUAUAUAUCAUGGUGAUGCCCCCACUUGCAAUACAGUGUGUAUAUAUUUACUUUAAAACCUCAGGUUCACCAACUUAAUUAACUGAGGGUUCAACCUGGAAUCCAGGAUUCCUAUAACCACCUGAAACACCUGCAUUUAAAGGGCUUGUUCCUGUCACAUGCGUUUCUUCUGCGAUAGUUCAAAGUAUUUCCAGUGCUUUUCUGCUCAUUACAAGUGUUUUUAAAAUAUGAGUAGUAGUAAAACAAAGCAGAAAGGGGG